GAGGACAGCGCAGCCCACAAGGAUAAGGGUACAUCUGGUUGGUGUCUUGAUCACUACAAAUGCUAGUGACCAAGACAGCUGAUCUGCGGAUGACUUGUCUCCCCCACCCAGAGACCAGAUGCUGUUGUAGCCCCUGGCCUGCUGCUGUGGGAGCCAGUGCCACUGAUCUCAGCCAAGAGGCUAAGAAGUGAUGAGCGCACACACACGAGCCAUCAGGACGCAGAAGGAAGACUGCUACUUAACCUCAGAAUCCACUUCGGACUGCUAUGUGUCUUGAAAAUUUCAGCAAUGGAUGCAAGAAUAUUUCCUGAAGUCAUGGAAACUGCAAAAGCCAGUGGAAACCAGGCAGACACAGUUCAUAAGGAGAAUACAGUGGAUCUCUCAAACAACCCCAGACAUCCCCCUACCACGAUGUCAAGGCAAAGGAGCCCACUGAAUUGCACUUUUUAUUCACCAGAUGGUCAGGCUACAGGGACACAGCCAUUCUGUCCCCCUGCUCAGGACAACUGUGAAAAGCUCCUCUCUGGGAGACUGGCAACAUUAGAAAGAUUAUAAACUUGGCCACUGAGACUGUAGCUCAGUACUGGCCCAUUACUGGAGAAGACCAGGCCCCACUGUUGCAUUUUAAACACUGCAUAUCCUUCAACCCUCUAAACCUUUCAGUGCCUAGCCUACAAAUGUGUGCACACCUGCACACUUACAAAAUGCACUCACACCC
rnacentral:lncRNA from 1 species